GAUGAACGCUGGCGGCGUGCCUAAUACAUGCAAGUCGAGCGAACGGACGAGAAGCUUGCUUCUCUGAUGUUAGCGGCGGACGGGUGAGUAACACGUGGAUAACCUACCUAUAAGACUGGGAUAACUUCGGGAAACCGGAGCUAAUACCGGAUAAUAUUUUGAACCGCAUGGUUCAAAAGUGAAAGACGGUCUUGCUGUCACUUAUAGCUGGAUCCGCGCUGCAUUAGCUGGUUGUUAAGGUAACUGCUUACCAAGGCAACGAUGCAUAGCCGACCUGAGAGGGUGAUCGCCCACACUGGAACGUGGACACGGUCCAGACUCCUACGGGAGGCAGCAGUAGGGAAUCUUCCGCAAUGGGCGAAAGCCUGACGGAGCAACGCCGCGUGAGUGAUGAAGGUCUUCGGAUCGUAAAACUCUGUUAUUAGGGAAGAACAUAUGUGUAAGUAACUGUGCACAUCUUGACGGUACCUAAUCAGAAAGCCACGGCUAACUACGUG
rnacentral:rRNA from 1 species